rnacentral:miRNA from 1 species
AUGUAGCGAGCUGAGUGGGGAGGAGAGAGGGACAGAGAGCCUGCUUGCUUUAAAGAAACCAACUGGAAAGGAGCCGCUUACACUCGUGUAAGUGGCUCCUCUCCUCUCCCGCUUUGCUCCUUUAAAGAAGCAGGCUCUCUGUCCCUCUCUCCUCCCCACUCAGCGGCUCUUCUC